GACCGCGUAGCUCAGUUGGAAGAGCAUUGGGCUAGUAUUCCAAAGGUCGUAGGUUCGAUUCCCACCGUUGCCC